CUUAUUUUUUUACCUAUUGGCUAAGAUCAAGUGUAGUAUCUGUUCUUAUCAAUGUAAUACCCAAUGUGCUGUCUAUCUGAGAACAAUAUAUUAAAUGGAUUUUUGGAGCAAGGAGUUGGAAUAGAAACUUGCUCCCUUCACUCCACACAUCAAUCUGGUAUUCCAGCACCUCCAGGAAUGGUGCAAAAAUA